rnacentral:rRNA from 1 species
ACGUAGGGGGCGAGCGUUAUUCGGAAUUACUGGGUGUAAAGGGUAUGUAGGCGGCCAUUCAAGUCGCGUGUCAAAGUCCAGUGCUCAACGCAGGGUGUGCACGCGAUACUGACGGGCUUGAGGGCGGGAGAGGUGAGCGGAAGUCCCGGGGUAGUGGUGAAAUUCUGAGAGAUCGGGAGGAACACCUGCGGCGAAGGCGACUUACUAGAUCGUUUCUGACGCUAAGCUGCGAAAGCGUGGGGAGCAUACAG